GACAGAGGGUGCAAACGUUGCUCGGAAUCACUGGGCGUAAAGGGCGUGUAGGCGGGAAGGAAAGUCAGAUGUGAAAUCCCCAGGCUUAACCUGGGAACUGCAUUUGAAACUCCCUUUCUUGAGUACCGGAGAGGAAAGCGGAAUUCCUGGUGUAGAGGUGAAAUUCGUAGAUAUCUGGAGGAACACCGGUGGCGAAGGCGGCAUCCUGGACCGGCAUUGACGCUGAGGCGCGAAAGCCAGGGGAGCAAACGGG
rnacentral:rRNA from 1 species